UCAUCCCCUACCGCGGAUGUUGGACAUUGGGAUCGGCAAACAAUAUUCCGCGAGGAGCUAAACCUGGGUGAUCUGGGAGAUUCGGAUGUAAUUUGCGUUGGUUUACUUUGGACACAGGAAGCUCGCACCGGGAAGCGCACUUCCAACAGAAAGAUGAGGACGUAUCCGACGUGGAAGAGCUGCUGGACGAAUUGGAACCGGAGGUCUUCCGGAUCCUGACUGGGGUGAAUACGGUGAUGCAGAACUAGUUGUCCAUUACAAUGCUACGUGUGCUGCUAGACCGAAGGCUCAAAUUGAUGAGGUGCAAACACUCAGCAUAUCCAGUCGAAAGUGCGAGAUGAUAUAAUUAAGUGAACAUAUACUGAUCCGACUCCACACCAAAAUCAAUGUAAAGCAUCAUUAAAUUUCCACCCGGUAGAGUCUCCAGAUUGGGCAACUGUAACAGAACCUUCUGAAAAAAAGUAUUUGAAGGCUCUUCCCGGUGAAUCUGAACUAGCAGUUGAAAUGGCUGAACGUACUGCUGCUAACACUAACAAACACCGAUCAAACAAUCCGGGUGCCACUUGCAAGCUCACCUUCAACUAAACUGCUGCACGCUGAAUCAAAUUCUUACACCGUUCGAGAAGCUGCUUAAAAUCCGGAUGUGGUGUUCAGUGCUGGAGGAAGAGGCUCUGCGCGAAGAGCGGCGCACCGAAGGCACAACCUACAUUUUCCUGCAACUGGGCACACCUGGAGCAGCUACUUCGUCAUCAAUCAUUCAAUGGCAGAAAUACUGUGGUCCGAGUGGGGUGGAAACAUACUAUGAAUAUGUGUAUUGCUGAGAUUGUAUUCAUAAUUUAAAAUAAAUAAUACUGUGGUGGGUGGGCUGGGGUGUUUCGCUGGACACGAUAACUUACCAUAUCCUUACUGGUAGCAAAUAGAUGCAACCACGUCUAUUGAUAGCAUAGGUCACGUCUCCAUAAAUUAGUAUUCUAUAAAAUAAUUCCCAAGUUAUCAUAAUUUAUGGUUAUAAAACUUGAUCUUGUCCUCUCAUGUUGCCAGGUGACGCACAAUACAUUGAGUACACUUUAGUAGAGCAUGGUAUAUUGUUCAAAGUAAAUCAGAAUUUGUAGGUUCACUAAGUCCACCCAAGUUGCUUGGUGAAGCACAAUACGUCCUUUUUUGUAGUUAGUAAGGUUCACUAAGUCCACACAAGUUGCUUGGCGAAGCACAAUACGUUCUCUUCAAAAUAAGACAUUUCUUCUAGUAUUCCAUAAGAUAUUCAGGAUUUGUAGUUAGGAAGGUUCACUAAGUCCACACAAGUUGCUUGGUGAAGCACAAUACGUUCUCUUUAAAAUAAGACAUUUCUUCUAGUAUUCCAUAAGAUAUUCAGGAUUCGUAGUUAGGAAGGUUCACUAAGUCCGCACAAGUUGCUUGGUGAAGCACAAUACGU